UAGGGAAUCUUCCGCAAUGGGCGAAAGCCUGACGGAGCAACGCCGCGUGAGUGAUGAAGGUCUUCGGAUCGUAAAACUCUGUUAUUAGGGAAGAACAAAUGUGUAAGUAACUAUGCACGUCUUGACGGUACCUAAUCAGAAAGCCAGGGCUAACUACGUGCCAGCAGCCGCGGUAAUACGUAGGUGGCAAGCGUUAUCCGGAAUUAUUGGGCGUAAAGCGCGCGUAGGCGGUUUUUUAAGUCUGAUGUGAAAGCCCACGGCUCAACCGUGGAGGGUCAUUGGAAACUGGAAAACUUGAGUGCAGAAGAGGAAAGUGGAAUUCCAUGUGUAGCGGUGAAAUGCGCAGAGAUAUGGAGGAACACCAGUGGCGAAGGCGACUUUCUGGUCUGUAACUGACGCUGAUGUGCGAAAGCGUGGGGAUCAAACAGG
rnacentral:rRNA from 1 species